rnacentral:rRNA from 1 species
AUACGGAGGGUGCAAGCGUUGUUCGGAAUUAUUGGGCGUAAAGCGGGCGUAGGCGGUUUGGUAAGUCUGUUGUGAAAGCCCUCGGCUCAACCGAGGAACUGCAACGGAUACUGUCAAACUAGAGUGCAGGAGGGGAGAGUGGAAUUCCUGGUGGAGCGGUGAAAUGCGUAGAUAUCCGGAGGAACACCAGUGGCGAAGGCGGCUUCCUGGACUAAUACUGACACUGAGGUACGAAAGCGUGGGGAGCAAACAGGAUUAGAUACCCCUGUAGUCC